ensembl:lncRNA
AAUGCUCCUGAUACGGCAGAAUGAUGAACCUUCUCUCUGUCGGGGUGCUUUUUUACCUGAGUGGGCUUAGAAAGAUGAACCUUCUCUCUGUCGGGGUGAUUCUCUACCUGAGUGGGCUUAGAAGCGGAACAGUGAUCCAGGUGGGCCCUGGCAGUGAUGUGAGCGUGAGAUGUGUGGACAGCCAGUCCAACUGGGACAGAAUCAGUGCCAACAGCAUAGAGCUGAGGCUGGACGACACGGCCCAUCUCCUGGUACAGAACUUUCAGCAGCAGGACAAGGGGCUUUACAGAUGUGGCAGUAAGGAAGAGAUCACGCUGGAGGAGAAGCAUGGAUCAGGCGGUGUAAGCGGCCUGCUGUACAGAGCGGUGGGCCAGGAGGCUCGUCUCUUCUGUAAGCACCUGGGGACUGAGACAUGCAAUGGCACGUGGACCAGGCCUCAUCAUCGCUCAAACAGUCAAGAGGUCU